rnacentral:rRNA from 1 species
UACGUAGGGGGCUAGCGUUGUCCGGAUUUAUUGGGCGUAAAGAGCGUGUAGGCGGCCAGGUAGGUCUGCUGUGAAAACUCGAGGCUCAACCUCGAGACGUCGGCGGAAACCAUCUGGCUAGAGUCCGGAAGAGGAGAGUGGAAUUCCUGGUGUAGCGGUGAAAUGCGCGGAUAUCAGGAGGAACACCCGUGGCGAAAGCGGCUCUCUGGGACGGUACUGACGCUGAGACGCGAAAGCGUGGGGAGCAAACAGG